rnacentral:tRNA from 1 species
UGGUAGGUAGCUCAGUCGGGUAUGCGCCCGCUUCUCACGCCAGAUGUGCGGGUUCGAAUCCCGGCGCUGACAU